GAUGAACGCUGGCGGCGUGCCUAAUACAUGCAAGUCGAACGAAACUUCUUUAUCACCAAGUGCUUGCACUCACCGAUAAAGAGUUGAGUGGCGAACGGGUGAGUAACACGUGGGCAACCUGCCCAAAAGAGGGGGAUAACACUUGGAAACAGGUGCUAAUACCGCAUAACCAUAGUUACCGCAUGGUAACUAUGUAAAAGGUGGCUAUACUACCGCUUUUGGAUGGGCCCGCGGCGCAUUAGCUAGUUGGUAGGGUAAAGGCUUACCAAGGCAAUGAUGCGUAGCCGAAUUGAGAGGUUGAUCGGCCACAUUGGGACUGAGACACGGCCCAAACUCCUACGGGAGGCAGCAGUAGGGAAUCUUCCACAAAGGGCGAAAGCCUGAUGGAGCAACGCCGCGUGGGUGAAGAAGGUCUUCGGAUCGUAAAACCCUGUUGUUAGAGAAGAAAGUGCGUGAGAGUAACUGUUCACGUUUCGACGGUAUCUAACCAGAAAGCCACGGCUAACUACGUG
rnacentral:rRNA from 1 species